CAGCCGGGAUCCAGGGUCCACUCGGGUCAGGACAGAUGCGGACACUCACCAUGGAGCGUGGGCUGAGCUGGUUACUCCUCCUGGCUCUUCUAGGGGGUGUCCAGUGUGAGGAGAAGCUGGUGGAGUCUGGGGGAGACUUGGUGCAGCCUGGGGAGUCUCUCAGACUCUCCUGUGCAGCCUCCGGAUUUUACUUCAGCAGCUACUGGAUGUACUGGGUCCGCCAGGCCCCAGGGAAGGGGCGACAGUGGGUUGCAGGUAUCAAUAACAAUGGUGGUAGCACCGGCUACGCGGACUCCGUGAAGGGCCGAUUCACCAUCUCCAGAGACAAUGGCAAGAACUCGCUGUAUCUGCAGAUGAACAGCCUGAAGCCCGAGGACACGGCCCUGUAUUACUGUGCAAGACACAGUGAAGGAAGCAGGCCCACAGCGACCCGCAGAGCCGUGGGUCACUGCCUGGAUAGGAAUCUAAUUCAGGUCAAAGGGGUGAGAGCGCUGAGAUGUAACCCUGACCAGCAGGGAGUCCCCUGA